GAGUUUGAUCAUGGCUCAGGACGAACGCUGGCGGCGUGCCUAACACAUGCAAGUCGAGCGAAGAAGCCCCUUCGGGGGUGGAUUAGCGGCGGACGGGUGAGUAACACGUGGGUAACCUACCUCAAAGAGGGGGAUAGCCUCCCGAAAGGGAGAUUAAUACCGCAUAAAAGGUGAAUACCGCAUGGUAAAUACCUUAAAGGAGAAAUCCACUUUGAGAUGGGCCCGCGGCGCAUUAGCUAGUUGGAGGGAUAAAAGCCCCCAAGGACGACGAUGCGUAGCGACCUCGAGAGGGUGGAACGGACCGACC
rnacentral:rRNA from 1 species